rnacentral:rRNA from 1 species
GAUGAACGCUGGCGGCGUGCCUAAUACAUGCAAGUCGAGCGAACGGACGAGAAGCUUUCUUCUCUGAUGUUAGCGGCGGACGGGUGAGUAACACGUGGAUAACCUACUUAUAAGACUGGGAUAACUUCGGGAAACCGGAGCUAAUACCGGAUGAUAUUUUGAACCGCAUGGUUCAAAAGUGAAAGACGGUCUUGCUGUCACUUAUAGAUGGAUCCGCGCUGCAUUAGCUAGUUGGUAAGGUAACGGCUUACCAAGGCAACGAUGCAUAGCCGACCUGAGAGGGUGAUAGGCCACACUGGAACUGAGACACGGUCCAGACUCCUACGGGAGGCAGCAGUAGGGAAUCUUCCGCAAUGGGCGAAAGCCUGACGGAGCAACGCCGCGUGAGUGAUGAAGGUCUUCGGAUCGUAAAACUCUGUUAUUAGGGAAGAACAUAUGUGUAAGUAACUGUGCACAUCUUGACGAUACCUAAUCAGAAAGCCACGGCUAACUACGUG